GACUCAGUAGUUUAUUUGGUAAAGCGUUCGUCUAGCAAACAAGAAUUCUGAGUUCGAAUCUCAGCUGAGCA
rnacentral:tRNA from 2 species